UUUAUUUAGCACUUCUAAACUAAGAAUACAUUAAGCUCUUCAUAUUUUGUUGUUUAUCCUAAUUUGUCUCCAUUCGGCUUCAUAGUCUGGUGUCUAUCAGAAGCUACUCCUUUCUACUUAAAAGGUUUCAGCCAUGGCUAUGCUGAAUUUGCAACGGUAGGUUCCAGUUGAAUAUGUUCAUUGCUACAAUGAAGUCGUUUUGUUGUUUGCUGUCCGCCGCCGUAUUCGGGGUCUUCGCCUGCCUCUAUGGGCUCAGGGCGGACAGGGGCCUACAAAAUCUCCUCUGGCCAAGGAAUCGUUCUCCUCCGGCGACCUCCCUCCUCCCUUUCGUCUCAGGCCUUCCACUGUAUCUCCAUCAAAGCGAAGGAUCAGAGGCUACUCCGUUGGGAGGAGAGGAAAGGAAUUGCGAGCCUUGUGUUGGAGAAGUCGAAGACUGAGAGUAUAUGGUGGCUCCAUUGGUGUCCAUGUUAAUGGCUGGCGUGUUCUAGAGCAACUCGGGGUUGUCGUAGAGCUUAGGGAGACUUGCCAGCCUUAAGGAGACUUGCCAACCUUGUCAUCGCGUACCAUGCCAACAGAAUGCUUAGCUUUUACGCACCAGCGCGUGACGCCAUGUGGGAGCAAAGUUGGGAAAAUGGAUAUUGGCGGUGGUCGAGAGGUUUGU